ACCACUCUAGGCGGUGGAUCACUCGGCUCGUGUGU
rnacentral:rRNA from 1 species